rnacentral:tRNA from 1 species
GGGUGCAUGGUCUAGUGGUAUGAUUUUCGCUUCGCAUUUUCACUUCUUUGAAGCAAUGCCCUGUGAAAGGUCCCCGGUUCAAUCCCGGGUGCAUCCA